UCUUGUGUUACACUCUUUCCCAACCAUGCACUGAUAAUUGAAUGUAAAUUUGGGAAAGUCAGUCAUCCACUGUAUCGUAUUCCUAAAAAAUCCUUUCUGUUCAAUAUCUCCUCAGUUUUCUUCUCAGAAAGGUCUUGUAUAUUUGUGUGAAGAGAUGUGGAAGAUCAUACACUUGAUUUCUCCAAGCUGUUCCUGCACCAGCUAAGUUCUUAAACUAGAAAACCUUACUGAACUCACUCAAACAAAACCAGCAGACCAGAAAAGCAGUAGCAUGUUAUGAUUGCGGAUGGUGGUAUGCUUUUGGGAUCCAAGAAUCAUACAGACCUGUCUUUGGGCAAGAAAGAGUUGAAUUGUGGGCACAUGCUGGGAAUCAUCGUGUGUUGGUUGUCAUCCUCGGAAAUGACAGGUGGCACUGAGACACACAACACUACGAUAGCAAAAACCUGCUCUGAUCUUCAAACAGAAUCUGGUUGCACUCUUCCCAUAAAGCACAUACAGAAUUAUGUAACACCAGAAGAGAUCUGAAACUGAAAUUAGGAUUGCAAUACAGAUGAUGGAGCACUCUACUGUUUUCUCUGGCUCCACGGGAGAAGGAGACUUAGACUUGUGGCGGAUGUUUCCUGCUUCGUUCCCUUCAGUGGCCCCCGUAGUCUCCCACCAAACACACUAUCUCUCACACGAAAUCCAGAGGCCAAAGCUACAUUCAUCAACUGACUGCACCCUGAUUCUGAAGGGCAAGUGCAAAGUAUAGUUUUGGAGGGCAUUCUGGGUAACAUGUGGCUGUUUUGCUUAUAAGCAUGACCACAGCGAGACACCAAAUAUCAAAUCACGCUAUCAAAUCUCACAUUUGAGCUGGCAGUCGGGAUUAGAAAUAUAUGGUAACUGCAGUGGUUUGCACCUUACUGUGCUGUUGGGUGGGCUAUGAUUUAUUCAUAAGAGAUGGUUGUUAUUUAAUCAAAAGAAUAGGCAGCUAUUACUUCGGCCAGUUUGAAGGAUGUUAACUAUUACAAAGAAGUUUUCAGCAUCAUCCAGAUUCCAGCAGAGAAGCAACACAUUAUUGAAAAGGGCUCACCCUUGACUACAAUAAAGAUCAGCGAUUCCUUCUUUCAUCACAGUCUGAAACCUGACCAACAUCAAUAAAACAGCUGCGUAGAGUUGAGGAACUCGGAGAGCGCUAUAAGGUGCGCCAGCGCCACCCCAUAUUAUAGCAAGGCAAUGGGUCAGCAGUAACAUGGGGCUGACAGUGGCGCUCUGUGCACCACAAAACCCAUUAGAGCAGAACUUCAAGCACACAGAACCUGACGUAGGGUUGAUGUGGACACUGCUAAGAAAAAGAUAUAUGGAAAUGAUGAAAAAAAUAGUAAUCUUAAAUAUAAUAGAUCACGUCCAAAAUUUUAGUCGUACCCCAUAAAGCUACAAAGGUAGAUUCUACGUGAAAGCUCCAGCUGCUGAAUGUUGGAUUUUGUUGAGAGAAACUACCUUCUUGGUCUCCAUCCACCUUGAACCCAUUAGGGUUUGUGAACUCGGCCAUCGAGUUGCGGCAGGCCACAACGCUGCAGCGUCCAGGUGUGUCAGUUACACGCUUCUGACGCAAACAGGGAAGACCCGAGACUCCAGGAGCGUUUUCUUACAUUACCUCUGACUGCUGGGAAACCGCAUUUACCUCAGCCGCUGAUUGGUGGGGCCACAUUUGAGGUGCUCAUUAACUGCAGCCGUGGAGAAGAAAAGCCACGGCUGCUGAUUGGAUUUCCACGUUUAACCAAUUACUUAGAAAAACUUUGCGAGCAACCGGCGGUUGACACUUACACAGAGCAACGGCCGGCCGUGUUGUGCUAAGUGUUGGGUUUCAGUGUGGAAAUUUGGUCAAGUCUUUCCGCAUCAUUAACGUAGAACAGAACACGCACACAUACAUUUUACACACGCACACACACUUUAUAUAUGCCCACAUUGACAAAG